AGAGGAGGAGGAGAAAGAGAAGAAGGAGGAAGCGAGCGUGCGCACGCGUGCUUACCGUUGGAGGAGGUGCUGCGACAAAGUGUACCGGUGGUAUAGAGGAAACUUGUCGCUAGCGAGAUCUGGAUGAAGAGGAGCACGAAGAGGAGAUAGAGGUGGACAGAGGAGAUAACGACUAGGUGACCUCUCUAACAGUUUCUUGCCACUGGGAAGGGGAAGAGUGAGAGGCUUGCAAAUCGUUCCAAGGAGGCUUGACCCGACACUUGCCUACAUGACGUACGUUAUAUGUCACGGACAAUGCCCCAAAUUUCUACAUAUCAAUUCCUCGAAAGCUUCGUAAGGGAACCUUACACGAAAGAUAUCUCGGCUAUGACGAUUAUGCAAGCGGAUCGCGCUCUCGCUCUCGAUAGGUAUCGAGAAAUCGCCUGACGUUCUACUGCCGCUGACGAAUCUAUGCAAACUAUGGAUCUUCGCCUUCUACCGGCAUACCAUCGCUCUAAGUCUAAUCGCAUAUUUCUAGAUUAUUAAAUAUACUUUUUCCAAGCUAUACGAUGUCUGUUAUAUUCGGCCGAACGCACGAAAUUUUAACUAAUUUUCGUUCGUACGUUAUUUCGUAUCUCCCCGAAAUCAGAACUCUCGACAUUAUUAUAAACACGACGGAAUGAUUUACCCUCUUGGUUUUAGCUCACCUCU